AGGUGGGGAAUGUCAUAGUCCACAUCAGCCCCCCAUGUGACAAGGGCCUCCACACAAGCACUUUUACCUGAGCAGGAGAGAUUCAUGACAGAGAGUAAAGGAGGUGAGCUGUGGAUCUACCUUUGCUGGUGGCUUCGUGGAUGGGUGACGGCUGACAUAUGGCGGUCUGAGGACUGGCGCCGUUUUCCAGGAGUAUCUCUGUGCACGUGGCACUGCCCGCCAUGCAGGAGUUGAACAGAGGGGUCACCCCGUCGAUGGUGGUGGCAUUAACCUGGGAGACAUUAGCACGUUAGCACGGUACCGCGUUUCACUCCCCGGUGACGGCCCACCUGAGAGAUCAGGUGUCUCAGCGUGAGGAGACGACCUCGGGCCGCGGCCUCGUGGAGGGGGGAGCGGUCCGCCCAUGACCCUGUGACACAGAGCACACACCUCAGUCCCGCUCGCAGGUAA